rnacentral:rRNA from 1 species
UAAUACGUAGGUGGCGAGCGUUGUCCGGAAUUACUGGGCGUAAAGGGCGCGCAGGCGGUUCGUUAAGUCCAAGGUGAAAUCCCACGGCUCAACUGUGGGGGGACCCUGGAUACUGGCGGGCUGGAGUGCGGGAGAGGGAAGCGGAAUUCCACGUGUAACGGUGAAAUGUAUAGAUAUGUGGAGGAACACCGGUGGCGAAGGCGGCUUCCUGGACCGUAACUGACGCUGAGGCGCGAAAGCUGGGGGAGCGAACAGG